CGGGGAAUAUUGCACAAUGGGCGCAAGCCUGAUGCAGCCAUGCCGCGUGUAUGAAGAAGGCCUUCGGGUUGUAAAGUACUUUCAGUCGGGAGGAAGGUGGUAAGGUUAAUAACCUUAUCAAUUGACGUUACCGACAGAAGAAGCACCGGCUAACUCCGUGCCAGCAGCCGCGGUAAUACGGAGGGUGCAAGCGUUAAUCGGAAUUACUGGGCGUAAAGCGCACGCAGGCGGUUUGUUAAGUCAGAUGUGAAAUCCCCGGGCUUAACCCGGGAAUUGCAUCUGAUACUGGUCAGCUAGAGUCUUGUAGAGGGGGGUAGAAUUCCAUGUGUAGCGGUGAAAUGCGUAGAGAUGUGGAGGAAUACCGGUGGCGAAGGCGGCCCCCUGGACAAAGACUGACGCUCAGGUGCGAAAGCGUGGGGAGCAAACAGG
rnacentral:rRNA from 1 species